AUAACGGCGACCGUGAAGACUUUUAAAAUAGAGACCAACGUGGCCGGGCAGGAAGAGCAGGGUCCCGCCUUCAGGUGUUUGGGACUCAGCUGAGGGUGUGGGUGCCCCGCGGUGGGGGCUGAACCUUCCUGGGGUGUGGAGAGACGAAAGGAGCCCAGAUCCAAGUUCCCUCGUUCCCGCUUUGGCAUAAGUUGCCCUGGCGGUCUCAUGAGAGAGAGAAAGAGCUGGGACCCUCCUCGCCCCAGUGAGUGUGAUGUCUUGCUCCGGGUGUCCUGGGGCAACUUUCUAUACAGGCGGGACGUGGGAGGAUCAGACAGUGUAACAUCAGACAAGGGUGUUGACUCUGCAGCACAGAACCAGUAGUUUGUGGAGAAGAAUGGAGGUGUGGUGUUGAAUCUGCUAGACAGGCUACUGAAGCAAAAGUCAAGAGAUCCAGAUUCCAUCAUGGGGACACUUUAGUUCUUCAUCGGGUAAUUGAGCUGAUAUCAGGUGUCUGAAGGAGGCAAGUUUUGAAGAUGUGGGUCAUGAUGGCUGCUGAAGCUUCCACUCCAUAUUUGAAGGUCAGCAGUUCUCAGGAAACCUCUAGCACUUCCAUCCCUGGUGGGAUGUGAUGCCUGUCUCAGUGUAACAUCAGAGAAGGGGUGUACUCUGUGCCCUAGAACUAGGAGCUAACAGAGAAAAACCAAAUGUGAUGUGGAGUCUGCUAGACAGGCUACUGGAGCAAGAGUGAAGCGAUGAAAGUCUCAUCAUUGGGACAUAUUAGGGAGGCAGCAGGUGGCUGAAAUCCUGGUGUGAUGUGGCUGGAUCAUGCAUGAUCUGAGGACUCCUGCACAGGGCACAAUUAUUUUAUCUUGGAACCAACAAUCUUCGGAGAAUGUAUCCCAAAGAUACAAUUCAAAAAGAUAAAAAGGCAGAAGCACAAGGUCAUUCUUGGCAGAACAAAUUGUAACAGCAGAAGACUGGAAAUAAGACAGAUGUCCACCAAUAAAGGACUGACUGAAUAAUCUAAGGUGCAUCUACAUCCUAGAUUUCAAUGCCGGUAUAACAAGCAAGGAAGAUUCCCUCUCUCUGCUGCUAUGUAGUGAUUUCCAGGAUAUACCAUUAAGUGAAUAAAGCAAAGUGCAGAAAAA
rnacentral:lncRNA from 1 species